UACGGGGGGAGCAAGCGUUGUUCGGAUUUACUGGGCGUAAAGCGCGGGCAGGCGGCCCGGUAAGUCGGCCGUGAAAGCGCCGGGCUCAACUCGGCGAGGACGGGCGAGACUGCAGGGCUGGAGCAAGGCAGAGGGCGGUGGAAUUCCGGGUGUAGUGGUGGAAUGCGUAGAGCUCCGGAGGAACACCAGUGGCGAAGGCGGCCGCCUGGGCCUUUGCUGACGCUGAGCCGCGAAAGCGUGGGGAGCGAGCCGG
rnacentral:rRNA from 1 species